AUGUUACAACAUGGAAAAGAGAAGAAUAUAUUAAGAGCAGUCGUCAAACGGAUGGAUUUUAGAACAAAAUUAGCGGUCAUUUUAGUCGACUUGGAAUUCAAUGAUGACGAUAUAAGAAACCGAGACAUGGAUGAUGAUGAAACCAACACGAAUCCCAACGAUUGUAUGAUUGUUGAAAGACCUCCUAACAAACCGAGAGCAUCCAACUCAUCGUCACAAGUUGAGCUCAUGUCGCAAUCAUUUAUCCUUUCGCCGUUUGUCACUCCAACAAACGACGACUUAAUAGAUGAACUUUGCUUGUUCAUCAUCAUGGUUGAUGAUAUCCCGUUGCUAGAGAGCGAAUGGGUGAAAAGCUCUCAACCUUAUCCUAUUAGUUUAAACCUGAGACAAUUAAAGAACAUAUUAAAAAAUGAUGAGUACGUGGAUGCCGAUUGUUUUAACAUGGCUGUGAGGAUACUAGCAUGCCACGACGUCCAGCUUGCUAGAGAUGUGCCAGUGCACUAUAUGGAUCUACAGUUCUGUGUA
rnacentral:rRNA from 1 species